rnacentral:lncRNA from 1 species
GUAACUAUAAACUAUAUGAUUAUAUCUAUUGUAAACAUAUAACGUUGGCAUUAAAACUUAUUUACGUCUAUUAUAGUUUUAGUAAACUAUGGUAUAGAAAUUCAGUUUAUAAUAUAAAUAAUAAAUGGUCUCAUAUUUUUAAUAUAGAUUAGAUCUAAUAACUAAAAUUGUAUAUGAUAUUUUAUAUUCUUUAUAUAAAUUAUAAAAAUUGAAUAUUAAAAUGAUAUGUCAUAAAUGUAAUUGAUGUUGUGUAUCAAUAUCAUCAAAAAUAGAGGAAAUAAUUAAUGCCGGUUUUUUUGUCAACAUAGAUUUUUUUCUUGGGAAAUUGCACCCUAUAUACAUGAAAAAAAAACUUAAAUACAUUAACUAACCAAAAUUCUCCCUUCUCUCCUACUUUCUCUUCCUAUCUCUCUCUACUCUCUCUCCCAAAAUCUAAUUUUCAUUUUUUUUUUGGGUUAUUUGGCAAAUAAGCCCUUCUUUCUUCUUCUUUUUUUGGCAACAUGGACUUUUAUUUUUGGUUAAUAUAGACUUUUUUUUUGGUCAACAUAGAUUUUUUUUUUCUUGGUCACAUAGACUUCUCUUUUGGUCAACAUAGAUUUAUUUCUAAAUUAUUUGGUCAACACAGAUUUCUUUUUUUCUGUCUUUAUUUGGAGUGAAAUAUGAUUUCCUCUUAAGGUGGUGUAUACUUAUUUUAUUUUUCAUUAUACCGCUGAAAAUAAGAAAAUAUAUAAUAUUAUCCGGUUGAUUUGUUUUCUCAAAACCCACCAGCAGACGCUAAUUUAUAAAAUAUAGCUUGGUUUUUCUAUUUAUUUGGAAGGAAAACAAAAUUUUGAUGAAGUAUAAUACAUAUAGUUAUAUACAUUAAUAGCAAAGAAAAAAUAAGAUGUUCUUAUGAAGAUCAUGAAACAAGUAAUGUAAACUAUAACAUCGUCGCCAACAUCCAUUUUCUUCACAUAUAUUUAACAACUAUAUACAUGCCCGGCCCAAAACAUUUUUAGGCCAUGUGCAUACAAAUAAAUAAUUUAGGGUCUAAAAUCAAAACUCGAAAACCUUAAAAUAUAAAGAAAAAUUACAACAAAAAAGGUAACAUUCUGUGCAAAAAGCACAAUCCACACAUGUCCAAAGUCGGCACUGACUAUAUAUAGAACUACUCUUCACCACACCACAACAUAAACCUUAUACACACUAUACAACAAGUCCAAAAUGGUGUCAGUAUUGUCUGUGUUCGUGGCUCUAGCCAUUAUUUCCAUUAAUUUAAAGACCUGUCAAGCCACAUAUAAUGUCACUUUGAAUGAGAAAUCCAUUUCUGAUUACUACCAGAAAUGGAUGAUUCAGUUCUCUAAAGUUUACAAGGAUAACUUCGAGAAAGAGAUGAGGUACAAAGUGUUCAAGAAAAACUUGAUAUUUAUCGAGAACUUCAAUAAUAUGGGGAAUCAAAGCUAUAAACUUGGUGUCAACGAGUUUACCGAUAUGACCAAAGAAGAGUUUCUUGCCACCUACACCGGUCGUCUCCGGGGCAUAAACGUUACUUCACUACCCAAAGUGGUUGAUCAAUCGAUGUCAUCUAGGAAAUUGAACUUUAGUGAACUUUUUUAUGUCAAAGACUGGAGAAUCGAAGGAGCUGUAACGCCUGUCAAAAAUCAAGGAUCAUGUGGUAAGCUUGCUUUGAUUAUUUAUUAUAGUCUUUAUACUCCCUGAUAUUCCAAGUUAUACCUCUAUUAUUUGUCAGUUUUAAAAAUAAUACAUUCCGCAUACAAAACUUAAUCCCCAAGUUAGGGUUAUCUGUUUAAGUAAUUUUUUUCAUCAAAAUGAAGUAAUCAAUAACUAUGUGCAGGAAGUUGUUGGGCGUUCUCAUCUGUAGCAGCAGUGGAGGGUUUAACAAAAAUUUCUGGCAAUAACCUCGUAUCACUGUCGGAACAACAACUUGUAGAUUGCACAAAUGGUUGUAACGCGGGAAGUACUGGUGAAGCUUUCGCCUACAUUAUAAAAAACGGGGGUAUAUCUUCAGAUUCAGAAUACCCAUACCAAGGAAAAUCAGGGCAGUGUCGUUCCGACGCCAGACCCGCCAUAAGGAUAAAAGGGUACGAAAAUGUCCCAAGCAACAACGAGUAUGCGUUGCUCGAUUCUGUAUUGAGACAGCCCAUCUCGGUGGACAUUGAUUCGAGUACGGACAGUUUUAUGCAUUACAAAGAGGGAGUGUUCGAUGUGCUGGACUGUGGGAUCGACGUGAAUCAUGCAGUUGUGCUCGUUGGGUAUGGGGUGACGGAUGAUGGGAUCAUGUACUGGUUGGCUAAAAACUCUUGGGGUGAGAAUUGGGGUGAACAAGGUUACAUGAGGAUCCGUAGAAUGGUGGAGUGGCCUGAAGGAAUGUGUGGUUUGGCUCAGUAUGCUAAUUAUCCGGUAGUUUGAUGAUUACUAUUGAAGUGAUCAUACAUUAUUAUCCUGGUUAUGGAUUGUUGACAUGUGGUCUAAAUCUACAUCGUAACUUAAGCGUGACCUUUAAAUAUUAUGCUUGUAAUGCAAGACAUCUUAUGCUUGUUCUAUAUAAUCAUAAUGUAUUGCCUCGGUUCUGAAUAAAAUAAUAUCGUAUUAUUAUCAAUACAAAUUCUGAAAAGAAAUUCCAAGUUUUACAUCUAUUGAUAAUAAUAUGAUAUUAUUUUAAUGCUUUGUUUUCGGUCUUUUAUGUCUUGUUUAUAGCACAUUCUUUUUUUGAAUCUCUACAAUUUGUAAUCCUAUAAAUAAGGCCUAAGAACCACGAAAUAAGAGAAUUAUUUUUUUCCCUCUUUAUGAGUUUAUCUCUUUGUUCAUUGUAGAACACUUUUUGUUUCUUGGUGAGAUUAUCUCCGAGUAAGCAUUCUCUAUUUCGUUGGACUUGUGAGUCAUAUCAAGCAACGUUUAAAAACCUUUCUUUUGUUGGAUUUGUGCAUCAUACAAGCAACAACUGAAGUUUGGUAGUAUCAAAAGACUUUUUCGCCCCUCUUGUGUCACCAUUCAAUCCACCAGAUCUCCCUUUUGGCGAGUUCAUAUCCCUUAGUCCGGCUGAGUGCUCAUUCCCUGGGUCUAAAUAUCUAAGACCUGAAAGACCUGGAUCCGAUAAGACAUGAUUCAAAUCCGCCCCAUGCCUAGUCUAAGACAUGAAUAAGAAGUAACUUAAUUUAAAACAAAUAUUUAAUAAACCAAACUGCUCCUUGCUCUAACAACCCCCCAACCCCCCCCCCCCCCCCCCCCCUCCCUUAAGCUAAGCUUCAUAUAAUGAAUUUAGCUUACUUCCUACAGAGCAAACUCUAAGUCUGUUCUUCAUGUCUUCAAACGCUUCUCGCUUCAAUGGCUUCGUCAGGAUGUAUGCUGUUUGUUCCUGAGUUCCACAUUGCUUCAGCUUAAUAACUCUAUUGUUGACCAUCUCCCUUAAAAACUGAAAACGCAAAUCAAUGUGUUUGCACUUGCCAUAAAACACAAGAUUCCUUGAAAGUUGUAUUACCGACGUGUUAUCACAUAGGAUUGUUGUACUUGCUUCCACUUCAUAACCCAGCUCCUUAAGAAUGUGCCUGAACCAAAAAGCUUGGCAUACACACGCAGAAGCUGCUACAUACUCUGCCUCAGUGGUUGAAAGCGUCACUAUUGGUUUCUUCUUAGACGACCAUGCUACUGCUCCUCCAUCCAAUAAGAAAGCAUACCAGAGGUGCUCUUUCGACCAUCAACAUCUCCAGCGAAGUCACUAUCAGUGUAGACCAAUACUUAUCCAGGCUCUCCUCGCUUGUACCAUAUCCCAAAAUCCAUUGUCCCUUUCAGAUACCUUAACACCCUCUUAGCAGUCUGAAGGUGUAACUCUGUUGUUUUGCCAUGAAUCUACUCAUCAAGCUCACAACAAACUGCAGAUCAUGCCUUGUUGUGGUUAUAUAAAUGAGACUCCCAAUGACUUGUUUAUAGAUAGUCUCAUCUAUAUGUUCUCCUCCUUCAUCCAGAUCCAGCUUUUGUUUCGAAGUACAAUAGGGUUACAGACGCCAUUGCAGUCUUCCAUCUUGAAACGCCUUAGUAUCUCCAAAGCAUACUUGGACUGAGAAACAUGUAUACGAUCUGAUAACUGCGUAACCUCUAUCCCCAAGAAGAAUCUCAUCUUGCCUAAGUCUGUCAUGUCGAGCUCACUCUUCAUCGUCAUCUUGAACUCCUCCAUCAUUUAGUAAUCACUUCCUGUAUAGAUUAGAUCAUCAACAUAGACGCUUACGCUCAUUCUCUCCGGGUUGGAAAAGAUUCGUCAUCGAAUCUUAACCAUGGUCUUCGAUUAAUUUUCUUCCAAACAAAGAAACCUUCAAACCAUACAAAAUAUUUUUGACUUGUGUAAAGCCUCUUCAUUUGCCAAAAAAAUAUUCCAGUUCGAGACAUAUUAAAUAUCCUCGUUCCCUUCUUGCAAUUUACGGCAAAAUUGGAUGAUUCUUCGAAGACGUCUUCAUCAUUGUACAGUAGCAACAUAGCAUGGUCACAUAUGUUGAUCUUUCCAUGUAUGCCUGAUUUUGCCACAUAAGCUUGAUCGUCUAAAAAUAUCUCGCCAUCUUCAUCUUAAAUCUGACUUUCAUCAUCAAAAACAUCAAAAAUUGGAUCUCCAACAAUUUCUUUGUAGAAAAUUAAUUCAUUUUCCACAAACAAAUUCUCCAUGAUUCCAGAAUUGAGUUUUGAUUAAGAAACCAAAACACCAGCUCUGAUACCAAUUGAUGUUGUGGAAGCUACGAUACCAUAAAGAUCUUAUUUAGUCUAAGAAUACCUAAGAUCAAUGUUUUCUUGAAUUCGUUGAGAUCUUUAUAGAUCUACCGAAAACAAAGAAUGAAGAGAGAACUCUCAAUUUUAUUAACCAAAUCAUAAACUGAAUAAAAGCUUAAGCCUAGAUAUCUAUAUAUAAGAAAACCUUAAAACUCUAAAAUAAUAAGGAUAAUUAUCUAAAUAACUGAUAAACUAAAUAAUAAAUAUUUGAAAAUAUCCCAAAUAUUUUUCUACAUCACUACUUGAUGCAGCGUAUAAGACCUUCUUUUUCUUAUGUCGGCUUUGGUUUUUAUUAUGUUAAGGUUUUAUUUAUAUUUUUGAUAACUGUUAAGUUUCAUUGCGAUAAAAGAAAUAUGAUUUAGGAUAAGGGAGGACAUUAGAUUGGAAUCCUCUUAGACUUAGGUAUUUUCCUCUAGUAUAAAUAUGUACCCUCUUGAUUCGUAAAAGGAACGUUUAUUAUUCUUAUUAUUAAUCUAAAGAUCUUUAUGUUUUUGACCUUGCAAUCGGCUAGAAUAUUGGUAUUCUCAACGAUUCAAGAAGACUUUGAUCAUAGGAAUUUUCAGACUAAAUUGGCUCAUCGUGUUUAUCGUAAUGCGAGCUACAUCAAUCAUCGAUCGGACUCAUGAUGUAAAUUUUCCCACUGCUUGAAAUAGGACUGAUCGGCCCACAAAUGUCUGAGUGAACCAGCUCUAGUACCUCUUUAGCCCUCAAUUUGCUCCUCUUUGGGAUCACAUUUCUUGAUUGUUUGCCAACCAUACAAUCAAUGCACGUGAAGUUUGGCGCAUCGAAUGUAGGCAGACCUCGCACCAUACUCUUGUUCAUCAGUGUCUUCAAACCUCGGUGACUGAGAUGACCAUAUCUCUCAGGGCCGUUCCCUCUUAUAUGAUGUCCUGCUUCGAGUUACAUGUCAGUUUAUACAAAAGAAUUCAGUCGGUGCUGACAAUAUUCUGGUGGGAUAACUCAUAAGAUAAGAAAACACUAUGUUGGAUCUCAUGGGACAAGUUAACUAAGCAUAGAGAAGAAGGAGGGCUAGAUCUGCGAGACAUACAAAUCUUCCACCAGGCACUACUAGCUAAACAAGCAUGGUGCAUUCUCAAAAAUAUAGGGAGACUAGUUGCUCGAGUUUUAUUAGGGAAGUAUUGUCAUAGCAAAGCUUUCCUAGACGUUAAACUACCAGCAGCCAGCUCGCAUGGAUGGCGAGGAAUUCUACACGGUCGCGCCAUCCUAAUCACACAUCUACGUAAAGCUAUAGGCAAUGGGAAUAACACAAAAGUAUGGAAGAACUCAUGGAUCUCAAUGAAUGAAAACAUUAAGCCUCAUGGCCCUUUUCCAGAGACUUACAUAGACCUAAAAGUGGCGGACUUAUUGACCUCAGCCCUACAAUGGAAUGCAAAACAAGUAGAAGAAGUAUUACCUCAUCUAGCAUCACAGAUUCUAUGCCUCAGAACAAGUGUUCUAGGUGCAGGGGACAUCUACAUUUGGCAACCAGUCAAGUCAGGGAUCUAUACCACGAGAUCAGGUUACAACUCAGUUGUUAGGAACAAAUAGGCCUUACCUAUUCCAGCUACAUCUGAAUUCAACUGGUUAGAGGAUGUAUGGUCUCGGAAAUUCUCUCCAAAAAUGUGAGUAUUCCUCUAGUCAAACAUCCAAGAAGCUAUACCACUAUGAGACCAUCUACAAAAAAAAAGACUCCAGUCAGGUAUUUCUUGCCUUUUUUUUGUCAAGAACCUGAAACCAAGAUGUAUACCUUCUCGAGUGUCCUACGACGAAGAAGGUCAGGCAUUUGAUCUCUGUCCAUAAAGUAGUUCACAUAGCUACAUAGGAUUUCAAAAAAGCAAUGUGCAAGUUUCAGGUGUUAACUGUCUACCACUAACAUGAGUGUUUCACAAUGUACUCCCCUGGGUGUGCUGGACUAUCUGGCUUGCACGAAACUCGUAAAUCUUUGAAGAUCGCAUCUGCACACCUGAAGAAACUGCAUCAUGAAGCCUCACAUUAGCAACAGAGUGGAAUGGAGCACAAAUACUGGGAGCCCAAAAAGGCCGAAGCUUACCGGUAGGGCUGGGUUCGCGGGUCAACCCGCCCCGCAUGACCUGCCAACCCGCGGAUCGACUCUAUUUUUUUAACUCAAAAUUCCGACCUACAUAACCCGCAAAAGAAAAAUCGUAAACCCGCACCCGCCCGCUAAGAUUGCGGAUAACCCACGGGGCCCAUGGAUAAUAUUAAACUUAAUAAAUAAUUAUUUUUAUUAUAAAUUAAUUACUUACUUUUUAUGAUAAAAAUUAUACAUUUAUAAUUGAAAUUAUAUAAUUUUCAUUAAUUUAUAUAUUUUUUAAAAUAUUUUUAUUUUUAUUUUUAUUUAUUUUAAACAAAUUUAGAAAAAAAUAAUAUUUUUUUUUAUUUUGCAGGUCGGCGAGUACCCGUGACUCAAAUUUGGUUGACCCGCACCCGCCCCGCUAAAAAUCGACAACCCGCACCCGCAUGCUGAAAUUUGUAAAUCAAUCGAUCUGCACCCGUCCCGCAGCGGGUCAAACGGGGCGGGACCCGCGGGUAAUGAUCCAAAUUCCCAGCUCUACUUACCAGCUCCCUUGAAGGGUAUGAACCAAUCAGUGUACCCAUCGGCAGUAACUGUAUGCAAGACCGAUGCGGCUUGGAGCAAGCUGUCGAUGCAAGCAGGGCUUGCAUGGACUUUCUCAAACCUGAAUUCAAUCCCUCCAAUCACCAAAUCGAACACUCAAUCUUUUGACAGCUCACCUUUUAUGGCAGAAGCUCUUGCGAUGCGUCUAGCCCUCAUCAAGGGAGUGAUUCUUGGGAUUUCUACACUCAAGGUGUUCUCCGCCAAUCAAAUGCUCAUGGGAGUAAUCUCCAAAUACUUGCAGGUUAAAGAAAUUCAUGGAAUCGUAGCGGACAUCCAUCAAACUCCUAUGCUUUCGUCUCUAUCUCUUUUUCUCAUAUUUCACUCGAAAAAAAAACAAAGAAACUGAUGUAUUGGAAAACCUCUCUCUUAGAUCUAUUUUUGAAUUGAACUCAUAUUUGUGGAGAUGCAAGUGGAGUUUUUAGAUGUUAAUUAGUCUUCCGUGACUAACUCGGCAAAGAAGUCACUGAUGUUGGAUUCAUUAGUCGUUACCACAUAAGGCAUGCAGAGUGGUGGGUUACCAUGUGGAUGCAAGAUAUGCUGAGAUGGAGAAGGAUAAACUGAGGGUUUAUGUCUUGACGUAGUCGUUGAAGUAGUUGAUGAGGCAGUGUGUCAGAUAGUGAAUCAUGAGGCAUGCAGAGUGGUAGAGACGAUGUGGAUGCAAGAUGCUGAGCUGACGUGGGAUAAACUUGAGGAGCAAGUUUAUACUGUGGAGAAAAGACAAGAGAUAAACUUGGGGAGCAAGUUUAUGCCUUGAGGAAUAAGUGCAUUUCAAGAAAAAAAAAGUGUACUUAUUGAUAUGGAAGUUGUCCAUAUCCAUGUUCCUUGGAGGCUAGGGUUUCAGGAAUGUGGAGAUCACUAUAAAAGAGUUAUGGAGUCGUGUGUAUUCCAUAAGAUAUUGGCUAUUAUUAUAGAGGAAGAAUGAAAAUCCCUUAGGGGUGUUCUUGGGUCGUGCUGAAGCAGAUGUUAAAGUACUGACGACAGGGAGACAAGUUUGGGUAGAUUAGGAAUCUUUCAGUAGCAGCUAUUAGGUUGUUGUGUAAAGAUGAUAAGCAAGUCUUGUAAUAGAUUUUUAGGUGAUUUCUAAUAAAGCAUAGUUGGUUGCUUGUAUCUAUUUUGUCUCUUAAUUUAACUUUUGCAUUACUCAAUUGUGGUGUCAUCUUUGCACUAACAAUUAGUAUCAGAGCGGGUCACCUAAGUUACUGGUGUGAUCCUGAAGGUGAAGAUGUACACGAUUUUUCUAUGCAGAAGACAAUCAUGUGGAAGGAUGGCCGGUAUGUUCAUUGGAAUGUACGCAUGAAGCUGUUGGUUUGAGGAAUCAAUGAGGCUGCGUGGAUAGCUGUGAAGACUGGGUGGGAGGAGCCUACAAUAUUUACAGCAUAAGGGAAGAAGCCCAAGCCUAAGGAGCCAAGACAAGGAGUGGUUCGAAAGGUAGUUCAAGAAGUAGUUCGGCGGAUGCGUCAGAGCCUGAUGUAGUACGCAUUGUGUCUGUGAUGUUUGUAUUGACAUCUAAGCAUUUGUUUUAGCUUAGUAUGCAAUCAAGCAGGGGGACGAGUGGUGAUGUUCUGGUCCAAGGAGUGCACAUCUCGUGGGGGAGAAGAGCAUGGUGAUGGACAUCCUGAAGUAGUUGGUGCUUUUCUCAUGGGCGAGAAAAAUAUAUCUAUUGUAGAAGAUGAAGAUAGUGCAACUCUCGUGGGGUAGAAUGGCAUAUCUAGUGUGGAAGUUUCCAAGUGAGAAAACGUGGUUGUUGAACCAGAAUGAUAUUGUGCUUAAUCAACACACAAAACUAAAAGGGGAGAUUGAAGAUGCAAGUAGAUCUUGUAGAUGUCAAUAGUCUAGGCGACAAAGUCAUUGAUGCUGGAUGCAUUAGUUGUUACCACAUAAGGCAUGCAGAGUUGUGGGUUACCAUGUGGAUGCAAGAUAUACUGAGAUGGAGAAGGAUAAACUGAGGGUUUAUGUCUUGACGUAGUCGUUGAAGUAGUUGCUGAGGCAAUGUGUGUCAGAGAGUUAAUCAGGAGGCAUGCGGAGUGGUAGAGACCAUGUGGACGCAAGAUGCUGAGCUGGCGUGGGAUAAACUUGAGGAGUAAGUUUAUACCGUGGAGAAAAGGCAAGAGAUAAACUUGUGGAGCAAGUUUAUGCUUUGAGGAAUAAGUGCAUUUCAAGAAAAGGAAAGUGUACUUAUUGAUAUGGAAGUUGUCCAUAUCUAUGUUUCCUCGAGGCUAGGGUUUCAGUAACGUGGAGAUCACUAUACAAGAGCUAUGGAGUCGUGUGUAUUCCAUAAGACACUGGCUAUUAUUAUAGAUGAAUGGUGAAAAUCCCUUAGGGGUGUUUUUGGGUCGUACUAAAGCAGAUGCUGAAGUACUGGAAAGAGAGACAAGUUUGGGUAGAUUAUGAAUCUUUCAGUAGCACUUGUUAGGAUGUUAACAAACUGUGUAAAACUGAUAAGCAAGUCUUGUAAUAGAUUGUUUAGGCGAUUUCUAAUAAAGCAUAGUUGGUUGCUUGCAUCCCUUAUUUUGUCUAUUGAUUUAUUUUAUGCAUUACUCAAUUGUGAUAUCAUCUUUGUACUAGUAAUUUGGACUAAUCCUGAACUUGAAGUCUUUCUAGUUUUAUUAUAAUAUUUGUUGGAAAAAAUAUUUUAAUAAAAUAACUUUGAAUUUUUUUUUUGUCAACCAAUUUGAAUUUAUUUAAAUGACAAUAAACUACGCUUCAAUUUAAUUUUUCUUAAAACAAUUAUUGAACAACAUCCCCUGAGAAUUUUUUAGUCAAUAGACUCUUUUAUUGAUUGAUUUGGCCACAUGAUUAAAACUCCACUAAAAUGGAUGUUCAGUAUACUAAAAUGAUUCCGCCACCCAUUCAGUAUCGAAUCAAAUUAAUUCUGGAAUCUUCGGUGUGAUCGAUCUAAAACACAGUGGUUAGUAUGAUGGGACGAUAGAUAGUUUUGGUGCCACAAUUUAGUCGUGUUUCCAAAUCAAUUAAUAUAUACAAACUGACAACCAAGCAAAUGUUCCGACAAGAGGCACCUCUUCCCUAAAAAAAAAGGCACCUCUUCCCUCGAAGUCGAUCUAUGGCACGUUAAUUUUGGUGCUUUGCUUAACGCUUCAAUUAAUAUAUUACUAGGAUAAGAUCCGCGCCUUGCGCGGAAUUAAGUUAUUAUUUUUAUUAUAUUUUGGAGAAUGAAACAAUAGUUUGGCUUCAUUUAGAUUAGGGGUGUUCAAUCCGGAUAUCGGGUUGGUUUCGGUUCGGUUCGAUUUUUUCGGUAUUUCAGUUAGUAAAAUAUAACUAUUAUUCUAAAUCCAUAUUUACUUUGACUUUAGUCUUUCACAUACUUUUGAAAGAUUUCAACUGGACGACUAAAUUGAUCAGCCAAUCUUGUUGCUUUAAAUCAUUAGUAUUUAUAUAUAUAUAUUAUUUAGUUUGAAUAUUUAUUAAAUAAAAAUUCAUAUGCAUUAUAUUUUAUGAUCAUUUGUAACUUAUUAUAACAAAAAAAAUAAUCUAUUGAUCACAAAAUUUUCAGAGUGGAAAUAUUCAAAUUUCUAAUAAUAUAUAGACGUUUUAAGAAAUUCAAAAUAUAAUAUAUAAGAAAAAAUAUAAAUGUUUUUAUUAUAUAUUUAAUGUGAUUUUUUAAUAUCUUUCAAUAAUAUAAAAUUAAAAAAAGAACUAAGAUACAAAAAUUGUUAUCAAUUAUUUAUUAUUCAUAAUAAUUAAUUUUCAUAUAUACGUUAAUCAUAUUAGGUAAUUUCGUAGCUUCUAAUUAAGGAAAGUGCAAAAAAAAUAUUUGGUAGAUUAUUUAUCAAUUCGAUAGUUAGUUUAAUAAAAAAUAUAAUGUAAGUUAAGAUGGAUCAACCUAUUUUUUUUAAGAAUAGUAUAUUUUAUAUAGUCAUUUAUUAAAUGAGAAUUUAUAAUCAUACAGUUCUAUGAUCAUUCAUAUCAUUUUAUAACUGAAUAUUUAAAUCAUCGAUAACAAAAUUUUCAAUGUGAAAUCUUUAAUAAGUUUAUAAUUUAUAAAUGUUUUUGAAAAUUCAUUGAAAGCUUUAAUAUUAAAAUAUUUAUGUAAUCUUAUGGUAUAUAGUAUAAUCUAUAUAUAUAUAUGUUUUAUUAUUAAAUGAUAUUUUUUACUAAUAUGGUUUUAAAAUCAUGUGUAUCUUCUUAUAAUAUUAAAUAAAAGUUCGUAUUAAUACAAUUUUAUGAUCAUUUGUAACUUAUUAUGACAAGAAAAUAAUCUAUUGAUCACAAAAUUUUCAGAGUGAGAAUCUUCAAAUUUCUAAUAAUUUAUAGACGUUUUGAAAAAUUCAAAAUAUAACAUAUAAGAAAAAAUAUAAAUGUUUUUAUUAUAUAUUUAAUGUGAUUUUUAAAUAUCUUUUAAUAAUAUAAAAUUAAAAAAAAGAACUAAGAUACAAAAAUUGUUAUCAAAUAUUUAUUAUUCAUAAUAAUUAAUUUUCACAUAUACGUUAAUCAUAUUAGGUAAUUUCGUAGCUUUUAUUUAAGGAAAGUGCAAAACAUUUUUUGGUACGUUAUUUAUCAAUUCGAUAGUUAGUUUAAUAAAAAGUGUAAUAUAAGUUAAGAUGGACCAACCUAUUUUUCUAAGAAUAGUAUAUUUUGUAUAGUUAUUUAUUAAAUAAGAAUUUAUAAUCAUACGGUUCUAUGAUCAUUCAUAUCGUUUUAUAACAAAAUAUUUAAAUCAUCGAUAACAAAAUUUUCAUUCUGAAAUCUUUAAUAAGUUUAUAAUUUAUAAAUGUUCUUGAAAAUUCAUUGAAAGUUUUGAUAUUAAAAUAUUUAUGUAAUCUUAUGGUAUAUAGUGUUUAAUCUAUAUAUAUAUAUAUAUAUAUAUAUAUAUUUAUUUUAUUAUUAAAUGAUAUUUUUUACUCAUAUGGUUUUAAAAUCAUGUGUAUCUUCUUAUAAUAAAAAUGUUAAACCAUUGAUCAUUAAUUUUUAACAUAAUAAUUUUAAUAGUUUUAGUCAUUUAUUGUUGUUUUUAAAAAUUCAAAAUAUAACAUAUACGAAAAAAUCUAAAUUUUAUUUUUAUAGCUAAUUUGAUUGUUUAAUUUAUUUUAAUAAUAUAAAAUUAAACAAAAAAUGAUGGAGGAGAUAUAAAUUGUUAUCAAAUCUUUAUUAUUAAAAUCAUUAAUUAUCAUAUAUAUAUAUAUUAGUCAUUUAUGGUAAUUCCGUAGGUUUUAUUUAAGGAAAGAAAAUAUCAUAUCAUAUCAUUAUAUCAUAUAGUUUGACCAACUUAUGUAUCUAACAACAUAUAAAAAUCGAAUGUGGACCUACUUAUUUUUUAAUUGAAUGUAAUUGACUACCUAAUUGAGUGCCACCUAUGCAUUGGGGUCUCUUUUAAUUAAUACAAAAUUGAGGUUACAUCUUUUCAAAUGUUCCUCAAUUAAUAUAUAGGGGAUGGUGGACCAUUUCGGUGCUUCGUUUAAGGAUUUAACUGAGGAAUCUUUUAGAUUCUCCUUUCAUUAACUGAAAUGGAUAAUUAAUUUGUGGAAUCACCUAAAAUAAACAUUUUGUUCUUCUUCAUUUUUUGAAUGAAACAUAUAUUUCUUAAGUUAAAUAAUGUCGAGUAUAGGGUAAUCACAUAAUUAUAAAUCAUCUCUUUAUCAAAUAGCCUCAUACUAUGAGCUCUUUUAAUCAAUUCGAUACUCUUUCACUUCACUUUAAGUGAUGUUUUAGGAUUUUUUUUGUAAUUUCUAUGAAAAUAGUUAAUGUAAAUUUAUUUUUAUGACCACUUGCAUUUUGAAAUAUGAUUUUUUAUAGGUUAGAGUUAUAUGUAGGUAUUGUUGCCCUUGUACAAACGAGAUAUAAUUAAAUAAACGUUAGUAAUUCAUUAAUUUUCAUACAAAACUUUAAAAUUUAUUAUUUUAAAACAGAAGGAGUAUAAGUUUUUAUUACGAGGUCAAAAGAUUUGGUUGUCAAGUAUAUCUUGUAGCAACAAUUUCUUUUAUCCAAAAUUAGUACUUUAUAAACAAAAUAUGAAAAUUAUUAGUUGCGGUUUUAAUUAUAAAACCUGUCACCCGUAAAUGAUAAUGGUUAUACUAUUUUCACUCGACCUAGUGUAGUUUUUGGCAAAAAAAAAGUGGACCAAAAAUAACGUUGAAGUUGAAUUGUCCAAAGGAAAAAGAAAAAGUAACGUUGAAUAUAUUUUCUAAGACUUAUCAACUCACUUUGAAAAAUUAGUUGUAAGGGUCUUGACUGGUGUAACAGUACCGGUUGCGGUUGCAGGAGCUUGCGAAUGCGGGUGGUUACGCUUUUAAACGAUUUUAAGAGAUUUAUACGACUGGUACUGCGGUAAAAAUUCAUUGUAUUUGCGGGAUACUUAUGAUUAGUUAGCCACCAAAUACAACAACGGUUAAAUAAUAUAAAUUAACAAUAUUUACAUUUUAUAUAAUUACAAAAAUAUUAUGCAUCAAAAUAUUAUAAUGAUAAAAAAUUAUAUUUAUAAUAUUAUUUAUAAAAAAUUAAAAAAAUUAUAGAAAUUAUUUUAUUUGAAAAAAUUUAUAAUAAAAUUUAAAAUAUAAUAGAUAUAUUUUAGUAUUUCUAUUAUUUCAAUUUAUAAUUUUAUUGUAAUUUUUAAAAAUAAUUUAUUUUUACCCUCUUACAACUCCAAACGCUAUCUGAAACCAGCUUUUGAUAUUUAAAAUGUUUAAAGCGGUUUGAAACGGUUUAGAACAGUUUCAGUGAUUGUUGCAAAACGCCAAUAACCGCUACCAACCGUAAAAACUGCGUUUGUGGAUGAUAGCGAGAAAACAAGUCAUGCCGAUACACAAUGGUUCAAUUAUUCAACACCAAAUUUUAUAUUAUUAUCUCAUCCUACGCUACUUCUCUGUUGACUAAAAAAAUUUACAUCACAUUCUAUUUAUGUCAAAUAAACAUUCGACAUUUAUACCAUACAAUGGUUUUAUUUACAAAUUUUUUAAUAUUUAUAUUUUGUAAAUACAUUUCACUACCAGUUUACAUUUCACUAGCAGUUAUCAAUGAUAAAUUUUGUUUCAAAUUAUUUCACAGAAAUGAUUAUUUGUGUAAAUAAAAAUUUACUGGUGAAUAAUAUCAAUAUUAUAGAAAAUUUUAUGUGUCUAAACAAAUGAAUCAAGUCUUUAUUCAUAAAGUAAAAAAUUAUGACUUUUGGUAUAAUUUUAAUUUUAAUAAAAUUUUCUGUUACAAUAGAAUUUAUUUAAAUAAUAAGGAUGAAUAAUUUUUUUUGAAGAAAAAAAUUGUCUUAUCAUCGCUGCUUUUUAACGACGUGGAGCAAUUAAAUUUUUGGUUAGUUAAAAUGCUAAGGAGGGCGGAAGAUAUUAGGAGAUUGAAUUGUGUAGAAUUUGCAAUUUUUAAAAAUUAGGUCAGAUUUUGUUCCCCUCGUCGACUACAUUGCUUAUGACAGUCUUCGGUUAACAGGGAUUCCAUUAACUUCCUCUCUCGCUUGUCUUCGGUACAAUGAUUGUUGGACUCUCCCAGCUGCAAGAAGUCCAAAAAUUAAGUAAGUCCAAUCUUGAUGAUUCCCUGAUUUGGAAAGUCAAAGGGCAGUGUUCUAAAAUACAGUCUUGUUGCAACGUUAAAGGAAAGUUAAAGGGCAUCAUGUAGCUUUCUACAGCGACAUGAUGCAACGUUGGCUUUGUAGGACAUAAUCCCUAAAUCCCAACUCUGUUUUUAGAUGUAAUUUCCUUUUGAAAGCAUAAACUUCGGUUACCUGUAACAUUUUUCUUUUUGUUGAUAAUCAAUUUAAAAUUUUAACAAAAAAUACAAUCUUGUUAUACGGUAUUUUAUGCGGAUUUAUAUAAUUCGGGUGAAUAAUAGCGUUUAAGCGGACAUUAUGCGGUAUACGCGGACGCCUAAGCGAAUUUCAAGCAUUAAUAUUCAAAAAUAUAAACUAUUAAUAUUUUUAUUAUAUUUUAUUAAUAUUAUUAUUUAUACUACUUUUACUUAUUUUAUGUAUUUAUAUGAUUGUAGAUAUUAAUAUAGUUGUUGCAAAAUUAUUUUAAAUUUAUCAUCUUUAUAUGUUUAAAAUGGCUUUAAUUUUUAUAAUUUAAAACUAUAUAUAUGCUAAACUAUAUACUUAUACAUAAAGUGGAUUUAAAAUAUAUUUAUGUUCAGUUUUUUCAAAAAUAAUUUGUAUAUAUAUAUUAAUCUUAUACUUAUAUUUUGUGUAAAAGUAUAUAUCUGUAUAUACCCGUUUAGGCGUCCGCCUAUAUGGCUAGGCGCUAUACAGUCAUCUAACGAACGUGUAGAGCGUUUUAGAACACUGGUUAAGGGUCAAUAUCCCUUCCUUUAAGUCAAGUGUGAGAUUUGAUCAACUGCCAGUUUACAAACCUCUAGUGGAAUGGGCAAAAGUGAUUUGGUUCAAGAAAGAUAUCCCAAACCCACAAAUCUCUGACUUAACUUUUCUUAUUGAACAUAUGUCCCACAAGGGACAUAUUAAUUUCUUGGGUCUUGGGAGUGAUUAUGCGUGUCUCUUCUGCCAAUCUCUCCAGGAAACAGGAGAUAUCUUGUUCUAUGAAUGCUCUUACUCUAACUCCGUUUGGUCCUCGGUUUAACAAAAACUGUCUUUCACCACAAGAGAUCAUUUUUGGAAUGAGAUACCUCUCGGCCUUAUAAAUUUCUCAAGGAAAAAUAACUUGAAGUACCUGACUCUGUUGGCUUGGCAAGUCACUAUUUACAAGGUCUGGCGUGAAAGGAACAACCGUCUACACACACCGCAAUAUAUAUAUCUCUCUGACUCGAUCCAGAAAGGAAUCGAACUGAUCGUCAAGAAUCGCAUAUCUGCCUCUCGACAGCAGAAUCAAGCUUAAGAUUCUGAUAUAAUGAUCAUUUGGCUAUCUCUCUCCUAGUAACAGCACCGACCCACUGCUUCUGAUAGAGUGCUCCUUCUAUCUGUGACAAACUUUCCAUGGAUUCUGAUGAUCACCACCGACUCUCGGCCAUCAUUUUCUCUCGUUAUCUACAAGGUUGGAUUUGGAAAAUGAAUAGUUUCAUCUCAUUAAAAGUGUGGACUUGGACAUUACUGUUGGGUUCUUAAUUCUCUCUUUUAAAUAAUACUAGAUUCUCAUUCGCGCUUAACAUACUUUUGACAAAAUCUGAUUUACAAAAAUUAAAGUAUUUACAUUGUUGAUAAGUAAUGUUCAAACAUUUUAAUUUUGGUGUAUUCAAAAACUAUAUAAUAGUAUUAUUUUUAUUUAUAUUAAAUAUGAAUAUUAUAUAUUAUUUAAUUAUGUUUUAAAAUUAUUUUAACUGUUUUUUAUAAAUAUUAAAUAAAAUCUUUGUAAUAGUUUUGAUUAAUUGUGAUAUAUGUACUUAUUUUGUAAAUUUUAAAUAAUAAAACUUUUAUUAUGUCAAUUUAUUGACUCGAACAUUUUACUUUUAUAAAAACUAUUCGAUGUCAACUUAAACCAAACAUAAUCUCGCAUUUACAAGUAUAUGUAUGCUCUACAAAAUUAAAAGAAUCUAAGAAAAAUAAUUUAAUUUUUUUUUUACAGCAAACAUUCACAGACUCAUGUAGACUAUAUAAACCAAGAAUCAAAGAAAAAGAAUUUAAUAAGAAAGUUUUAUUAAGCUUAAAUGAAUAAGUUUUUUUUAUUUAUGAAAUAUGUAUAAAAUAAUCCAUUAAUUUAUUAAUUUUAUAAUAAAUAAAACUAUUUUGAAGUAUCUAAACCCGCAAAAAGUAGUUCUACUUAAAUUUUUAAUUUGAUUCAUAAAUUAAUUGAGUGUUUUCGCCAAAUCAUUGAAAAUGAGAGAAAUAAAAAAAACUAAAAUAUAGGACCUAAUGUUUUAUAUUUUUUGGAUACAAGAUUAAUUAUUAUUUUGUUUGGAAACACAUUUAUUAGUUGUUUUGAAACGUUUUUAAUAAGUAGUAGUAUAAGGGAUGGAGUAUUAACUAAUUUUAGGGUGUUUAACUAUAUAGUAGAAACGGUGUAUUUAAUUUAAAAACUUCUAAAAAAAUGUUGGGUCCAUAGGAAUGAUUCUUUUUUAAUAAGAGACAUUAGUUUGUUAGAGUAAUUAUUUUACUUUAAACAUUUUGCUUUAAACAUUUAUUACUCUAAUAAUUCAUGGCAGCCCUUUAUUUACAAACACUUUCAUCUUUUUUUAUUUGAAAAUAAAACACUUUCAUCUUUCAUGUUGAGAAACUAGAACCAAUCAAUUAUUCACUAAAAAUAGAUAUGCAUGUGUGAGCCUUCCACUGCAAUGGAGGACAAUACAAUAUUGGGAAUUUGCACUAGAUAGCAAAAAUAUAUGAGAUAAUUAGGUAGAUGGGUAAGAUACUGUACUUUUUUAGGUAAUACUAAGACUGUCCUUAUUUCCAUACGAAAAGCAAAGUAUAGUACCUGUUACACGUCAAACGUGAUUACUUAAAACAGGCGGUUGCACACAAAAAGUGUCAAUAAUGCAAAGAAUCAAGACUUUCUUUCUCUUUUAUGCAAAAAAACCAAAGAGAUCUGUAAUAAUAUUAUUCUCCGAAUCGAUCUCAAUUUCCGGUUCCUCCAAACAACCUACAGGAGUAGGUGAGUACGAGUACGGCAAGUAGCAUCGGUCUCAUCCUCAAAUCAUGUGGAUUCCGAGUCACCGCCAUUAAAAUUGGUCUCUUUUCUCUCCUUAUUACAACAACCUUUGUCAUUUCUAUCAUGUGUGUAAUAACGAACAUGUGUUCUGUUUCUUAUGUUUUUUUCGAGCAAAGUUCGUUUGUUUUCUUUCACUUUUGCUUUUGAUUUUUUUCUUUUCAGAUUCAAUUCUCGGUUCCUCCAAACAACCUAGGGAGUAGGUGAGUACGAGAAUCGUAAGAUAAGAGAAAAAAUGUUGGCAAAUCUCAGCCAUUACUCAUCUCCACCGGGAUCACCUAACGAAGUCCCUGUAAGUCGACAAAAAUAGUAUUCAGACAAUUAUACUCGAAUCCGCUUUCUAUACUUUGUACGCGGUUUUUAUGUAUAUACUCAAAUCUGGUUUCUAUUAGUUGUACCCGGUUUUUAUGUAUAGGCAACUACGGUUUCUCCUUUUCGAAAAUAUUUUUUCCUCACCGAAAAUAUCUUCUCCUCUUCUCUUCACUUCUCCUCUCUAAAAAUAUUUUACAACUCUUCUCUCACCAAGUUGGACAAAUAUAACCGAUUUUAUACACUUGUUUACUUUUUCAAUAGGUUCAAAAAUAAAACUGAUAAAUGGUCAUAACUACCGGUUGCAGGUUACUUGUAUUAUUCAAUCACGUGUGGUUUCGAGGACAGAAUCGGAAAGAGAUGCGUUAAAUGACAAGGUUCUCAAAUUAUUAAAAAAGUUUGCAUAGAUCUGAAAUUACCACGCCGAAUUUUGAUAUUGAACUGAAUAGGCCUACAAUAUUUAAUAACUAAUGUCACACAUUGCACAUAUUUGAGAAAACCAAAAUAUUAUUUUUUUAAAUAGAAAUAAAACAAAGAACAAAUCGUUGUCCCACUGUCCUCGUGACCCACUCACCAGCGUAAUUUUUCGUUCUGAUCCAUCUAACUAAAGCCGUAGAAUCACGAUAAUGCUUAUCCGAUCUUUUUCGUUUGCAUAAUAUGAUCAGUAAUAGCAUCAAUAUUCGCGGGAGCUACGCAUGAAAAAAAUCUGUAUAAACAGCAUUUGUGCCCUAGUUAAUUAAUGAAGCUAUUAAUAACAUGCUGAUUUAGAAGAAAAAAUGAAUUUAAUUGAUUAUAAAUUCAGAUCCCGAACAGCAUUACUAUAUAUAGAUUCAAGUUCAGAAUCAACGUGAUUUAAAUGUCCGUUAGGUGGAUUUAUUUAAUGUUUAAGAAUCUUUGCUUCUCUGUACACUAAAACACCAUAAUACCAUAUACUAGUAUAUUUAAAUUAGUUAGGCCGAUACGUUAUUAUACUACCCAUGUGCGUAUUCUGUAAGGAUAUAUACAUAUAUUUGCAAUCUUGCAUGUAAAGAAACGUUCCCUAGGAAUUAUUGGCUCUUCAUAUAAACCAAAGGCCAACGAAGCAUCUUCCAAAGAACAGAAAACAAAAACUUGCUAAUAAUUGCUUGCAAGUAAAUGCCACGUUAUAUUUUAGUCGACCAAUUAUCAUAAACCAUUAAAAUAAAAUAAUAAUUUGGAUAUUUGUAUAUAUCAGUACUGGUAUAUAUACCUUUGGUUUUUCAUGCAAGACUUGGCAAAGACGAGCACUAUAUCUAGAAGACGUGGAAAAUAGAGAGAAGCAGAAACCAAAAAGAAUAUUAAAAAGAACAAAUUGUUGUUCUUUGUCCAAAAUGGUGACUAUGAAACUUGAGAUUUGCAUCGAGUUGGUGAAACUAACCGUAGAUUUCGUCGCUGCCGUGGCAGAAUCAAUCGAAGUAGCUUUCCGUAACCGUCCUCCGCCGCCUAUUCCACAUUUAGCGGUGAGGAACGGCCGUCGGAGUAAUCACUCCGCCAUCCCCAUUCCUCUAGUGGGAUUUCUGUAAUUAAUGUAUUCGUCUUUUAUGGUUCACAUUAUUUUUCUUGUUCCUCUUGUUCUGUUAUUACUGUCUUGCCUUUAUUUGUCACGUGGUGCUUCGGACAAAAGUGAUUCGUAUGGAAUAUCAAGAACGAAAUGAUCAUGAAUUAUUUUUUUGUGAAUCUAAAAGAUCAUGAAUAGUUUAUACAUAUUUCCUAAAAUAUAAAAAGCUUAGUUAUUACGUUCCCGACAUUUUUUUUCGAGCGGAAACUUGGAGAUUCAUUACGUCAGAGGCAUAAACGAGCAUUUUCAGAACAUCACAUACAUAGCAUAGGUGAUAGGACAACAACAUCUCCGCGUAGAAGCAUAAGAGUUGUAUACGAAGACUACUUACAUUUUGAAACAAAAAAAUUUCCCUAAAACUACUUACAAUAUGAAAAAAAUAGCACCACAACACUAUCUGUUGCACCUUGAAAGACUCCAAAAAGAUAUAGGUGGAGAUUAUUAGCAAGAACACUUGAAACUAAAAACAAAUUUCUAUCCAAACAGUUAGUGAAGUAAAAAUUCUCACACGCAUGCGCGAACUAAUUCCUAGUUAUUAUAACAUACUGUAUAAAUUACUAGUAUGGAGUGCUCUUAUCUUUUUUUUUAACACUGAAGGAAUACCAUUCAAAUCCAAAGGCUGAUGCAGCCAAAAGUAGCAUGGUGGACAAAGGUCAACACCUAUCAAACAGAAAAAAAAAAACCAACCCAAUAGGGAGGAAACACUCAUCCGGAAAGAAUAAAAGAUAAAGCUAAGACAAAGAGACAGCCACUAAGGGUCUAGACCCUAGGAACGUGGCACCUACGACCAAGGUCUAGACGUCUCCUGCAAUCGCGUGCUGAAGCCAAGAUGGACCAUUCAGUGCUAUAUAAGAUUGGUACCGAUGAUCAGAAGUUACACUCUCCGCUAUACUCAAGGCUAUAGAGUUUCUUGCUGGGAGAAUGUAGUUGAGGCUCCAACCCCUCAAAUGAUGUAGUUGAGAUCUGAUGGAACAUGACACCCGAGAGGAUUCAGGAGCACAAACCUGACCAUCCCCAUUAUAUAAUACGCGCCGUGCGUGAGCAAAGGAAGACUCAAAUAUUAUGUUGUCAAGCCUCAACGAUUUCAUACUCUCAACUGCCCAUAAGAUUGCCCAAAGUUCAGCUUCUUCAAGUGAUUGAAUCCUAGAGUAAGAGCGUCGACUGUGCAUAAGCACACUCCCUCUUGAGUCUCGAGUAAUCCAUGAAGCACCACAAUUGACCACCCCACUCACCCAUGAUACACCAAUAUUACAUUUAAUCAUACCUGGGGGAGGAGCUUGCCAAGUUGAAACCUGCGGUUGAUCAAUGACCAGAUCCUGAGAUCUCAUUUGAUCCGGAUAGUUAGCCACGAACCACUCCUCUGCUUCUUCCUCAGCUUUACCCAAGAUUGAAGCAGGAGAUAACCGAGUCUUGUCAAAAAUCAAUCCAUUUCUGGCUUUCCAUAUAUGCCAUAAGAUCCAGGGAAUACUCUGUUUGAGUUUGGUCGGAACGUCUUUGCUUUUAGUGCACGCAACCAAGUGAUGUAAGUUAAGGAAAACAGAGUUCAUAGACAAACCCAAAGGAGGCAUAGGCAGUCUCGCUGCUCUCCAUACAUCUUGUGCAGCCGGGCAAGUGAAAAGGGCAUGACAAAUUGUUUCCGGUCCCAUUCCACAGUUCUUACAUGUAGUAUCUACUUGGAUUCCCCUCGAUCUCAAACGAUCAGAUACAGCCAAAGCUCCAGCCAACGUUCUCCAAACAAAAUGGCGUAUCUUAGGAGAGGUUUGAAGCUUCCAAAUACUCCGCCACAUCAUCUUCUCAAUUGGGGGAAGAGUCCGGUGCUGAGUAUCAUUAAAAUUCGCAAUGUUUUCCAGUAACUUAUAUCCAGACCGAGAGGAAUAGUGACCAUGAGGAGUAAAGCCCCACACUAGAGCAGCCGUCUGAUGUCUUUCCACAUGCAUUUCCAGUAUAAUAUUUGCAUCCUCAGCAACAAAUAGACUUCGCACCUUUGUUGCAUCCCAAUAAUUUGUAUGAGGGAUCAGAAGAUCAGAGACUGUAAGUGUGAGAUCAACUUGAGCAUCCAUACGGUACAUAGGGGGGCGCGGAAAAGGCCCCAUGAUCCAGUGUUCUGUCCAAGCUUUUGUAGAUGUACCAUCACCAACUCUUUUGAACAGACCCUUCUCCAGCAGCUCCCGGCCAUGGAGAAUACUCCUCCACGCAAAAGACGGUCUUGAACCAAGCCCACAGUCCAUAAAGGAACUAUUCUUCCAAUAUUUGCUCUUUAGAACCUUAGAGACAAGAGAUUCAGGAUUCAUAAAAAUACGCCACGCUUGCUUUGCCAAUAAAGAUUGGUUAAACCUGCUAAUAUCAUGAAAGCCAAGACCCCCUUCUUCUUUGCUUUUGCAGAGCUUUUGCCAGGCCACCCAUGGGAUCUUCUUCCGAUUAGAUCCACUACUCCACCAAUACUCCACCAUAGCGCUGUUAAGUUUUUCACAAAGGUCUUUGGGCAGCUUAAAAACAGACAUCGCAUACACAGGGAGCGCCAGCGCAAUAGAUUUUAGCAAUAUUUCUUUUCCUCCUUGCGAAAGCGCUUUCGCAUACCAGCCAUUCAACCUUCCAUGCAGCUUUUCUCGGAUGAAGUUCAGAAGCUCGACUUUUGACCCUUGGAAACAUUCCGGUAAACCAAGGUAAGUACUAUCUCCUCCUUCUUUAUCUAUCUCCAAGAUCCUUUUGACCUCAGUACGUAUGUGAUCUGGUACUUUGGCUCCAAAAAUCACGGAAGACUUCAGUUUGUUUAUCAUUUGUCCAGACGCUUCACCGUAGCGUCGAAGGCAGUCAAUCACAACAGUACUCUCCUCUUCUGAGGCUUUACACAUAAGAAGGCUGUCGUCAGCAAAUAAGAGAUGAUGCACAGCCGGGCCUUGAGGGCCGAGUUUAAUACCAUGGAGCUUCCCUUUUUCCUCAGCCGUAUUAAGAGUAUGCACAAGAGCCUCAGCACAUAGAAUAAAGAGAAAAGGAGACAUAUGAUCACCUUGUCGGAUUCCUCUCUCUGGCUUGAUGAACCCAUGCGUCUGGCCAUUUAACAAGACUGUAUAUGUCACUGUGCUAACACAAGACAUCACCCAGCAAACCCAUUUUCGGUCAAAACCCAUAUUUUCGAGCAGAGCUUCCAAGAAGGCCCACUCCACCCUAUCAUAUGCCUUUGACAUGUCCGUCUUUAUGGCCAUAUGCUGCUUCCCGAUCGCAUCAUUGGUUCGUAGUCCAUGCACCAUUUCAUGAGCGAUAAUUGUGUUAUCUGAUAUGAGACGUCCCGCAACGAACGCACCUUGCGUCUCUGAAAUUAUCUCCGGCAUAACACACUUUAGUCUCUGACACAGAAUCUUGGACACAAUCUUGUACUGGACGGAGCAUAGACUAAUGGGUCUCAUGUCCGUCAUCUUUGUGGGUUUCUGAAUCUUGGGAAGUAAACACAACUGAGUGUGGUUCCAGCCAGCAGGUAGAAUCGCUGAGGUAAAGAAACUUUGGACCUCCCUUAUGACAGCCUCGCCAACCACAUGCCAAAAUUUCUUAUAGAAAGUGCCAGUUAGGCCAUCCUCACCAGGCGCGCUAGAUCCUCUGACACUGAAUGCAGCAGCUUUGAUUUCAUCAGAGGAGAUUGGUCGCGUCAGCAUAUCAUUCAUCGUAGGCGUAACUCGACUAUUAAAACCGGCAAAAAGCGAUUCCAAGUCAUGUGGGUUAGAACUCAUGAAAAGCUCCGUAAAGUACUCAACAGCCAGGUUACCUUUUGCUCCUUCUGAGAAAAAUUCUGUUCCUCUUUCAUCUUGUAGCAUCAGGACCUUGUUCUGAGACUUCCUCCCGUUGACACUAUUGUGGAAAAAGGAUGUGUUGUUGUCGACCUCCUUCAGCCAUAGCUCACGGCUUUUCUGGCGCCAGAAGAGUUCUUCCUGACGAUGAGCUUCUGACAACUCAGCUUUAAGCAUCUUCAUAGUCUGAUGGUCAGGAAAACGCUUAGCUAUCUCAGCUUCUAGUUUGGUCGAGAGCCUCUCAAUGUUGCUCUGAGCAUUAAGAUUGGAACCACGCUUCCAUCGCGCUAGUUCCUUUCUACAAUUGGCAAUGCGAUCCAUGAUAUGAUUUUCCCCACUCAGGUUUGAUAUGUUCCAUCCUCUUAUGACAGCAUCUUCAAACCCUUCUUUUCCAAUCAUUUGUUGAUCGAAAUAGAAUCUUCCGUAACUUCUAUCAUCAGGUUCCAGGGCGAAACACAACUUGAUAGGUCUGUGAUCAGAAGCAUACAUCCGCAUGUACUCUGUUUUGGAUCUCGGGAACAACUGGAACCAACUAUCGUUCCCAAAACUUCUGUCUAGACGACGCUGAACCCACACUUUGUCUUUACGACCAGCACCAUUAACCAUUUCUCUCCAGCCAGCCCAUGAGAGAGAAUUGCCAGAGCUCCUAGUCUCCUUAAUUUUACAUGAGAUAGCCAGGUUACGAAAGUCCCAAAAUGUAGACUCAUGUCUCUGUGCUCCCCCUUCCUUUUCAGCAUUACUCAUCAGCUCGUUAAAAUCGCCAAGAAGUAACCAAGGCUCAUUUCUCGUGACUCCAAUGGACACAAGAUCAUCCCAAACAAAACGUCUAUUUUCUCUAAUGGGGUCUCCAUACACGCAUGAGAUGUAAAAGACCAAGGACCCCAACCUAACUCUGAUGUCAAUGAUCCUGUUACUGCUUGAUAGGACCUCCACAUCAUAACUCUGCUUCCACAACAACGCUAGACCACCACUGCGACCAACAGGUUCCACCGUCACCAUUUUAUCAUAACCCAACUCUAACCGAAGAUCAUCCAUAAACUUGAAUUUUUGUUUUGUUUCCAUCAAGAAAAAGAGGUCAGGGAAAUAUUUUCUCCUAAUAUUCCUCAACCUCUGAACUGUCUCCGAGCUACCAGCUCCUUGACAGUUCCAACUCCAAAUGCUCAUUGGGAUGGCAGCAGCUUCAAACUGGAAGCCACCGUAGAGUCUGAAACUUUUUUGUUUUUGGGUUCUGCCGCAGGCAAAGAAGAUAAGGCUUUCCUCUUCGAGCUGGACAUCAGUUCUGGUUCGCUUGGGGGAGCUGAAAGAGCAGGUAGUUCCUCCCUGCCCAAAUCUCUCCUUUUCCAAGAAUGGGGACGUCUCCUUUGGGCCUUGUUUCCUCUGAUGCUUCCUGUGACACGCCCUUCCGAAGAAGGGCCAAGCUGAAAACCCGACGUAGUUAUAGGUGUUGAUUUAGCAGAGAAAGCAGACCCUGAAGAGGUUGAUUCUUCAUCAAUCUUAUCUCCUCCAUACUGUGGCGCAACAACAAGUGGAAGAGAAGUACCGCAUUGCUGUGAGAGCAAGAGAUCUGUGUAAGAGAAGACAUGACCCUUUCCUUUGUCCAGCUCUUUUGUGAUGCGUGUAAGAUGCACAGAAGAAGCAGCAAGGUUAUCUGCGAUCCCUUGCUUAACACGUUCAAUUCGCGCCAACCGUUCAGUCGGGUCAGCAUGUGAGAUGUAGAGCAUCGCCAUCUUACGAUCUUCACCAGACAACUCCGGAAACAUCACAGGAAAACCAGGGGGGCCAUUUGAGAGAACUGAAUGAGUUUGGUCAUUACGUUCUGAUCUCGGGGCUUCAGCGACUCGCUGCACUCUACCAGCUCCUUUCUUGAUAAAAGGGCAUUUAAUCUUCUCAUGAGUAAGCCGCAAGCAGUGGAAACAUCGCUUGUGGAUCUUCUCAUACUCAAACUCAAUAGUAACUGUUCCCCCUUUAACCUUAAGCCUACGAGCAGCUUUAGCAGGAUUGUUCGUAUCAAACAGCACAAGAGCCCUGAUAUAAUCCUUCGUGUGCGACACCUUUGGAUCAUAAGCUACUUCCUCAACCUUGCCCACCUCAGACGCGAGCUUAUACAUAGUCUCAAUCGUGAAGAAAUUAACAGGUAUGUGUCGGAUGCGGAUCCAGACAAACAUGGAUUGAAGAAAGUCAUCUGGAGGGUUUGCAGUCCAACGUUCUAGUACCAUAGUCCAAUGAUUGUAGGACCAAGGUCUAUCAUUCAGCACUGUCACGAGGUCCUCUUCUCGUUGGAAAACGAACUGGAAUCUGUCCCGAGACAGGGCAAUUCCACGAACUCUAUCGUACACUCUCCAGGCCGUGGGCAUGUACUCAAUCAUUCUAGCCAUCGAUUGACAGUCGGGAUUCAGCAACCUCCCCAACAAACUUGUUUCGUUUUCAUCAAAGACCCUGAAACGGGGACUGUCGGGUAAGGUCAAAGGCUCCUCUUCUUCCAAGGACAUAGCUUGAAUCGCCUUUUGCAGUAAAUCAGCCAUCUCUUCUCGACAGAUGAAAAUUCCGGCGCCGGAGGAUAGUUGGGGAUGCGAAAACUUAGGUAAGAGAUCAAGCGUGAUUGAGGUAAAUUUACCUCUAAUACCACAAAAUUCGGUCAUGAUUUUUUGGGAAAUCAUCUUCAAGGAAAGUCUUGGAGAGUGGGGAAAACGAUAAUGGAAAGUUCCAGAAAAAAAUUUAAUGGAGAGAAGGCUCGAAACACAACAGAAAUGGAAAUAGGGAGAUUGGGUGUUUAAGACUUCCCAAAAAUAAAUGACCGUAGCAAAGGCCGGCGAUUGGGAUCCACUCGAUGAGAGGGAGAAACGAAUAUCAAAAAAAGGAAAGAAUAUCCCGACCGACGAUACACUGGAAAUCGUCCAAAAAGAGAGAGAAAAAAGCCUGCAAGUCUUGAGAGAGUGAUCUGCUUAUUAACUAGUUGUGGAGUGCUCUUAUCAAAAAGAAAAAGAAGAAUUGGUUCAAGUUUUCCAUGACACGAUAAUCGAAGUGCCGUAUGUGUUUCAAAUUCACGAUGCCAGCGAGGAGCGGAAGCUUGCCGGCAUCACCUCCGUCUCCUUUUCAUUCCCUUCUCUCUACUUUGACAACGGUUUAUACGUUUAUUUUUAUUCUCACUCAAAAGUUAUUUCUCUUCGGCUUAUAUGGAUUUUAAUCAACAUACAAGAGAGAUACGACUGUAAUAGAUAUAGAAAGUAUAUAUUAGCUACCCUCUCAUUAAGCACUAACGGCUCUCUCUUUAGUGCUAUAUAUUAGCUUACCAUAUUCACCUUGUACUCUGACUAUAUAUGUAACUAUCAUGUGUUAAUAAUACUCAAGCAAUUCCAAAACCUAAUAUGGUAUCAGAGCUGUAAGCUCCUCUUUUUUUUCCGCCGUUGUCUUUUCUCUUCUCUAUUUCUCCUCGAUCUAUUUCUCUGUUUCUCUUCUUCUCUGUCUCCAAACUAUGUCUGAAUCUACUGCUGAAAGAACCUCUGUGUUCAACACUCAAGAUCCACAAAGCACUCUCCUCUCGGUUAACAUGUCCAGCGUUACCAAGCUCACUAAUCUCAAUUACGUUAUGUGGAGUCGCCAGGUCCGAGCAUUGCUAGAAGGGCAUGAACUACAACACUUCAUUGACGACACAAACACUGCUCCUCCACCCACGGUCAUGCUCAACGGUGCCGUCUCGCCAAAUCCAGAGCACGCUCCAUGGCGCCGACAAGAUCGUCUCCUCUACAGCUCCAUGAUUGGCUCCAUCUCGUUGGGUGUGCAGUCGGUUGUUUCUAGUGCUAACACAACCAAAGAAGUCUGGACUACUCUACAACCUUUGGCAACGCCUCUCGUGGACAUAUAAGGCAACUCAAACUUCAGAUCGAACGCUGUGUCAAGGGCACCAACACGAUCAGCGAGUACCUUCGUCUCAUCAAGUCAAAAGCAGAUGACUUAGCUCUCUUGGGAAAACCUAUGGAUCAUGAGGAUCUCAUUGAAAGGAUACUUGCAGGUCUUGCUGAAGACUACAAACCGGAGGUUGAUGCUAUCCAUGGCAGAGAUACCGCCAUCUCCUAUGCUGAACUCCAUGAGCGCUUGCUCAACCGUGAAGCCAUCAUCAUGUCCACUGAAUCGGCUUCCAGCACACCGAUUGUUGCUCAUGCCACAGACACUCGCCAAACUCAACACAACAAUCAGCAAUGGAGGCGCAACAACAACAACAAUCACAACAACCAAGCUCGCAAACAUCACAACAACAAUCAGCAACGCUUCUCAAAGCCUUAUCUAGGCAGAUGUCAAGCGUGUAACACACAAGGUCACAGUGCUAGGUACUGUCCAAUGUUUCGCUUGGUUCCUGGUGCUACACAAAAUCAACAGGCGCAAUCACAACAGAGGAAUCCAGGCCCUUGGAACAAUGUUUCACCGUUUCAACAGUGGCCACCUACUGCUAAUCCCGCCAUGAUGUCUGACUCCUCCACAUGGUUACUCGACUCCGGGGCGUCUCACCAUAUGACAUCAGACUUAGCCAACCUCUCGAUGCACAACCCGUACAGUGGUGGUGACGGUGUUCUCCUCGGAGAUGGUUCAGGCCUCAACAUCUCUCACUCUGGUUCCCUUUCUCUCCCCUCUUAUACUAGACCAUUUUUCUUAAAUAAAGUCUUAUGUGUUCCUGCUCUUGAAAAAAAUCUUAUCUCUGUGUUUCAAUUAUGUACUUCUAAUGGAGUUGCCGUUACCUUUACGCCAACGUAUUUUCAGGUGAGAGACCUGGAAACAGGGACGCUUCGUCUCGAAGGGAAACCUAGAGAUGGCACGUACCAGUGGCCACAUUCUCCAGCAUUGAAACCGUCUCUUGCAUUUGCAUCUGCCGUGAAGACAUCGUUGUCGGAUUGGCAUUCCCGUUUGGGACAUCCAGCUUUUUCAAUUCUUCAAAAAGUAGUUUCUCAGUUUCAGUUACCUCUUGUUUCAAACGCUUUAAUGGCUCAGCCAUGCAAUGCUUGCUCGAUUAAUAAAAUGCAUAAGUUACCAUUUCAAAACUCUACUCUUCGAUCUUCUCAACCUCUAGAUGUAGUGUUCUCAGAUGUCUGGACAUCUCCUAUUAUUUCAGUCGAUGGUUUCAAAUAUUACGUUAUUUUUGUAGAUCACUACACAAGAUACACUUGGCUGUAUCCUUUAAAACAAAAAUCGCAAGUUUUUGAUGUAUUCACUAGGUUUAAAGCCUUGGUUGAAAAUCGAUUUCAAACCAAGCUAAGAACCUUAUACUCAGAUAAUGGGGGUGAAUAUAUUGGUCUGCGAGAUUUUUUAGCCCAACAUGGUAUUUCUCAUAUGACAAGUCCACCGCAUACUCCGGAACAUAAUGGCAUCGCAGAACGUCGCCAUCGACACAUUGUUGAAACAGGACUUGCUCUCCUGUCUCAUGCGUCGAUGCCACGGUCCUUUUGGACAUAUGCGUUUGCAACGGCUGUCUAUUUGAUUAAUAGAAUGCCAACCUCGGUUUUAGAAUUUAAAAAUCCAUUUCAAACUCUUCAUGGACAUAGUCCAAAUUUUGAAAAACUAAAAGUGUUUGGAUGUUUAUGUUUUCCUUGGAUUCGACCUUAUGCUUCUAAUAAAUUGGAUGCAAAAUCAACCCCUUGUGUAUUUCUUGGCUACUCUAUUACGCAGAGUGCAUAUUUUUGUUUUGAUCGAUCAACUUCUCGCAUUUAUACUUCUAGACAUGUAGUUUUCCAUGAACAUGUCUUCCCUUUUUCAUUACCUGUGCCCAUUGAGUCUGAUGCUACUGCAGAUAUGGACUCUACACCUUACACUCCUGUCAAGCUUGUGUCUAUUAAUACUAACCCUGCAGGUUCAGUUCCUUCACCGCAAGACCAAGUAGAACGUACGCCACCGGUCUCUACUGAACGAGCGUCAGUAAUACCUGACAUGGGCAACACCAGUCCACACGUUACAACUUCAUCAACACCUGACAUUGCAGAGACGACUUCACCUUCACCGCCGCAACAGCCUCAACAAGAUCGUCCUCCUGUUCCGAUCAGACAUAGCACUCGCCAACGCAAACCAGUACAGAAGUUGAAUCUUCACACGAAAGUUGUUCAAACAACAGAAACACCACCAACAACUGUUGCUCAAGCUCUAAAGAGCCCUCACUGGCGCAAAGCAAUGGAAGCUGAAUAUAAUGCUCAGAUUGGUAAUCAUACUUGGGAUCUUGAGAACCUGACUGAUGAUUCUCGUUUUAAUGUUGUAGGUUGCAAAUGGAUAUUCACCAUAAAAAGGAACCCAGAUGGCACAAUUGCGAGAUACAAAGCUCGACUAGUUGCGAAAGGCUUCACUCAAAAACCGGGAAUAGACUAUCAUGACACCUUUAGUCCAGUAGUCAAACCCGCCACCAUUCGGACUGUCUUAAGCACUGCAGUCUCCUCCAACUGGCCUAUCCGACAACUUGAUGUAAACAAUGCAUUUCUACAAGGCACACUUAAAGAUGAAGUUUAUAUGGUGCAGCCACCGGGGUUCGUCAACAAAGACAAUCCCAAUGCAGUUUGCAGACUUCGCAAAGCCAUCUACGGUCUCAAACAAGCUCCCCGAGCUUGGUAUAAUGAGCUCAAGCAGUUUCUUCUUCAAGAAGGAUUCUUCAACUCCUUGGCUGAUGCCUCCUUAUUCAUAUACCGAAAACAGGGAGUCUUUAUUUAUAUGCUUGUUUAUGUAGAUGAUCUUAUAGUCACCGGGAACAGUUCAUCUCAUGUGUCUCAGUUUAUCACAUCGCUUUCAAAACGUUUCUCACUAAAAGACUUAGAAGAUCUCUCAUUCUUUCUUGGUAUUGAAGUAACGAGAUCCUCUAAAGGCAUGUUACUAACUCAAACUCGUUACAUUGCAGAUCUUCUUCAUCGGACACAAAUGGAGAAUUGUAGAUCCAUCGCAACACCAAUGUGCGCCACGACACCACUCACUCUGCUGUCCGGAACUCCUCUUGCUGAUCCCACAGAGUAUCGGGCAGUUGUUGGUAGUCUCCAAUAUCUAUCGCUCACCAGGCCUGACAUUUCCUUUCCAGUGAACAAGCUGUCUCAAUACAUGCACAAACCAACCGACGAACACUGGAACGCAGUCAAAAGAAUUCUCAGAUAUCUUGCUGGCACUAUGACCAAAGGACUUGCACUUCACGCCAACAACACUCCUUCUCUUCAUGCAUUCACAGACGCGGAUUGGGCUGGCAACAAGGAUGAUUAUACAUCAACUGGUGCGUACAUAGUCUACCUUGGCAGCAAUCCGAUAGCUUGGUCCUCCAAGAAACAGAGUGGAGUUUCACGCUCCUCGACCGAAGCCGAAUAUAGAUCUCUCGCCUCAACCACUGCCGAAGUGUGUUGGAUAACAUCACUACUCACUGAACUUGGAGUCAAAUCACCUACCACACCUACCAUCUAUUGUGAUAAUAUUGGGGCAACUUACUUAGCGGCAAAUCCGGUCUUUCACUCUAGAAUGAAGCACUUGGCCCUUGAUUAUCACUUCGUCAGACAAUACAUACAAGCUGGUCUCCUCCGAGUCUCUCAUGUUUCCACUCAUGACCAGCUCGCUGACGUCCUUACUAAACCUUUACCACGCCCUGCAUUUGAAUCAUUCAUGCUCAAGAUCGGACUCUCUACCGGCCGUCCGUCUUGUGGGGGUGUGUAAGAGAUAUAGAAAGUAUAUAUUAGCUACCCUCUCAUUAAGCACUAACGGCUCUCUCUUUAGUGCUAUAUAUUAGCUUACCAUAUUCACCUUGUACUCUGACUAUAUAUGUAACUAUCAUGUGUUAAUAAUACUCAAGCAAUUCCAAAACCUAAUAACGACGGCUUCAUGAUGGUUUCAGCCGCCUUACCCCUUGCACUUUCUCCUCUGCAGUCGUCUUCUUUAAUCAGUUUGCCGUUGAGUAUACCUUCAUAUGUAACCAUUUAAGUCUAUUGACUUUUAGCUUAAUAUAAACAUUUCUCGUCAAAAAAGAAUUUCUCCUAUAAUAUAUUAUUGAUGUGGAUAAUAAAAUAAUGAUACAGACAUCUAAAUUCUUCUAAAUUUAUAUAUUGUUGUUCAAAAUAAACAAUGGGAACCGGUCAGCAAAUUUUCAGUAUGGUAAAAAAAAAUAUUAGGGUGCUGAGAAGGUCAACCGUGUAGAUUUGUAAUUAUUUGAAACCAAAUUAGCAACACUAAUUUGCUAUUUUUAUAAUCACACUAAACAAUAACAACCAAUUCUAAACAAUUAAUAAUAGCAAAUUAUGAAGUUUGUUUCUUGCUUUUCCUUUUUUUUUAAUUACCAUUCUUUCAAUCUUAGGGGGUGUUAGUGAGAGUUAGAUUUAUGAUGAUUGUUAGAAUUUAUAGAAUCUAGUGUUAUUGGUUUACACAUUUUCAUAUUCUCAUUAAAAUCUAGUGUUAUUGGUUUCAUGAUUUAGUAAUUCUAUACACAAUCUUUUGUUAUUCAAAAAAGUCUAGAUUUUAAUGAUUCUUUAAAUCUAUUAAAGUUGGUGUUAUUGGGAGUUGUAUUCUUCACCAUUUAACUCAUAACACAAGAUUUUGAGAAUACUACUUAUAUACCUUAGAUUCUUAGAAUCAUUAUAUCAAUGUAUUUUCAUAGAAUUCACAAUAUACAAAACUCUCUACAACUCUUUCCAAAUUUAACAAAUUUCUCAACUUUUAAAAUCAACAAACUCUAUAUAAAUCUUACUCCCACUAACACUCCCUUAGAUUAUUUCUUUCCAAAUUGUUCUAUUAAGCAGCCUUGGGUUUUUUUCCCAAGGUUCCCCAUUAAACCUUGAGUUAAAAAUCAAAAACAAUGGAUAAGCCUUUAGGCACCUUUUUCAUCCUCCUCCUUAUUUCCCCCAUCGUUGUUGCGACCAUCAACGAGGAAACUUCAUUCCCAGAAAACGCUCAUCUCACAAAUAACUUAGACCAAAAAUGCGUUGACAUCAUUAAAGUUGAUCCGAGCCUCAAAUUUGAAAAUGAUCGUCUAAAAAGAGCUUAUAUUGCUCUUCAAGCCUGGAAGAAAGCUAUAUAUUCUGACCCGUUUAAAACCACAAAAAACUGGGUGGGACCCGAUGUGUGUUCUUACAACGGAGUUUAUUGUGCGGAAGCUCUUGAUGAUCCCAGCCUCAAGGUUGUUGCUGGUGUUGAUUUGAACUAUGCGGAUAUUGCCGGACAUUUACCAGCAGAGCUAGCUCUUAUUACCGAUCUAGCUAUGUUUCACAUCAACUCGAAUCGGUUUUGUGGGAUUAUCCCCAAAAGUUUAUCAAAACUCGCGUUGAUGUAUGAGUUUGAUGUUAGCAAUAAUCGGUUUGUUGGUCCGUUUCCGGAAGUUUCACUCUCGUGGCCGUCUUUGAAGUUCCUCGAUCUAAGGUACAACGAGUUUGAAGGAUGUUUGCCGUCAGAAAUAUUUGAUAAAAAUCUUGACGCCAUUUUUUUGAAUAAUAACCGGUUUGAAUCGGUUAUCCCCGAUACGAUUGGUAAAUCGGCUGCUUCGGUUGUGACAUUUGCAAACAAUAAAUUCAGUGGGUGUAUACCGAGAUCGAUCGGUCAGAUGAAAAAUCUGAACGAGGUUAUUUUCACUGGAAACAAUUUAACCGGUUGUUUCCCGAACGAGAUCGGUUCUCUUAAUAAUGUGACAGUUUUUGAUGCGAGCAAUAACGGGUUUAUUGGUAGUUUACCGUUGACCUUGUCCAGUUUAUCAAGAGUUGAGCAGUUGGAUUUGUCCAAUAAUAAGUUAACCGGAUCUGUUGUCGACACAUUUUGCAAACUCCCUAAUUUGGAAAGAUUUAAGUUUUCUUACAAUUAUUUCAAUGGAGAAGCUGAGAGUUGUGUUCAUGGGAAAAACAAUGGGAAACAGUUUGAUGACAGGAGUAAUUGUUUGAAGAACAGACCGGAUCAGAAAUCUGUUAAUCAGUGUGUACCGGUGGUUAGUCGUCCUGUGGAUUGUAGCAAGGACAAAUGUUCUGGCGGUAGUCAAGGUGGCUCUCCACCUUCAAUAAAGACGCCAGAAAUUAUUCCACCCAAACCGAAAGAACUUGUUAUACCAAAGCCUGAAGAAUCACCUAAACCGGAACCACAAAACCCAUUAAGACCUGAAACACCAACAACUAAUGUACAACAACCUAUACCUGAGCAUGAGCCACCAAAACAUGAAUCUCCUAAACCAGAAAACCCGACAAACAAACCUGAACUACCAAAACCAGAAGAGACACCUAAACCACAACCACCUAAAUCUGAAGAAUCUCCUAAACCUGAACCACCAAAAACUUCAGAGACUCCUGAACCAGUUUCACCACCAAAGGAAGAUCCAUAUAAUGCAUCUCCGGUUAAAAACCGUCGUCCGCCACCACCACCACCACCCAAGGUAAAAGAAAUACAGGUACCACCACCUCAACCACCAAUGCCAUCUUCGCCACCACCUCCUGUUUAUUCUUCUCCUCCACCUCCAGCACCUAUUAAUUCUCCACCUCCGCCAGUUGCCUCUCCUCCGCCUCCAUCACCACCUCCACCAGUUAACUCUCCUCCUCCACCACUCAUUUUCUCUCCGCCACCACCAUCACCAGUAUACUCACCACCGCCUCCAAUUCAUUCCCCACCGCCACCAGCACAUAUAAUAAUUCAACCACCAAUCCAAGCUCCAACACCCGUUCAAGCCCCAUCAUCAGAAUCGGAUCAAUCACCUGUUUCGUCACCAGUUCAAAGUCCAACACCGAUUCAGUCCCCAACCCCAUCAUCGGUAUUAGAUCAACCAACAAUUGAUGCUCAAUCACCAGGUCAAACCCCAACACCAUUAAAUGAACCGGCCUCAUCACCAAAAGAAGCAGAAGAUCGUGAUGCGCCAGAACCAUCACUCUCUACGCCCUCACCGUCACCUUCUCCAUCCGAAAAUGUUGCCCCACCACCGGAAAACAACAACCACAGCGGUUUUAAUCUACCACCACAUAUUGGAUUUGGAUAUGGGUCUCCUCCACCACCGAUGUUUCCUGGCUACUAAGAAAACUAUUUGUGACGUUUUACACAAAAAAAUAGCAUUUUUAUCCAUUUUUCAUGCUAGUUUAAUCGUAACAAAAGAUUUUUGAAAAAAAAAAAUGCCAGUUACAGUUUGAGCAUUGCAUAUUUUGUUUGUUAGAUUACUUGUAGUAGAAGAUAUUUGUAAAAUGUAACAUAAUACUAUCCUUUUUGUAAAGUAUCCAUCCCUUUUAAGUGUUUAUAUGUCUAUCACUAAAAUCAUUUUCCUUGCAACUUUUUUUUUUUUUUGAAGUCAAACGGCCAUUCUAUUACUCAAACUUGAGGUGGACUGGGUAACCAGAGCGGAACAGAACAACCAAUAAAAUGUAACUUCCUAUGGAAGGAUCUAGCAGUCUUAGCUAAAAAAUCUGAAAACUGAUUGCGCGCUCGUGGAACAUGAAUGAUGUCGAAGUCCGGAAAGCAAAUCAGCAGCGUCUCUAUCCUUUCCAAUUCUGUCGCAAAGCUAGGCCAGGCAUGAGGAUCCUUUAUCAUUGCUAUCAGCUCCUUGCAAUUUGUCCCAAAAUUCUGGCAAGUUGAGUGUUGAAGCAUGUUCUCCAUUGCCCACCGCAGUGCUUCAACUUCUGAAUGCAGAGCUGAUUCCCGUCGAUCGAAAUUUCUUGUCCCCAACAAUUGAAUGUUUCCUCCACUGUCGAACCAGACCCAUCCACAUCCACUAUACUGAGCAGAGGCUGUCCAAGAUCCAUCUAUCAAGCAAAUAUUACCCAAGCUUAUGACUUGGGGCUCCUCAGGAAGGCCUUCUUGUACCACGGUUCGUGCCACUUCAUUCGCAUUAAACCAGGCUUGACAUUCACUCUCUGCAUGUCGAACCAGCUCCAAAGGAUCUCUGUCUAUUUCCCUGAAAAGUUUAUCGUUCCUAGCCUUCCAAAUGUACCAAAUUAUCCAGGGAUAAGGAUCCCUGUCCUGCUCCGGCUCGAUAAUGCUGUUUUUUCUCCAAAAUAGGUAAUCCAUAUUUGCGUAAAUACUUGGUACUGGAAAUAGACCUGGGCUAGACGGAGUUGAUGAUAAGGACCAGACUUGUAGAGCUGGCGGACACUCGAAAAUAGCAUGUGUUACAGAUUCUUCUAGCUCUCCACAUCUUGGGCAGUAGUUAUCACAUCUCAUACUACGUCUUGCUAAAUUCCUCGUUACUGCCACAUAACCAGUUAAUAGCUGCCAUAUAAGAUGACAUAUCUUCGAAGGUGCUUUUAUCUUCCAAGCAAAGGCUUGAAGCUUUGUGAUACUCGGUUCUAGGACUUCCUUUUCCCCCUCUGUCAUUAACACAUUCUGAGCCACCCAAUAUCCAGAUUUAACCGUGUAUUGGCCAUUCCUUGUGUAAUUCCAACAGAAUGUAUCACGACGAUGUGCUGAACUUGUGGCCAAACUCCUUAUAAGUGGUAUGUCCUCUGGAUUGACAUAACUCUCCAAAAGACCAACAUCCCACUCUUUCGUUUCCGGAUCAAUGAAAUCACUAACUCUCAUAUUAGGAUGCAUUACCGGCGCUAUAGGGAGAGCUGGUCUUGCUGGGAUCGUUGGAAUCCAUGGAUCUUCCCAUACCUUGACUUCAUAGCCUGAAUGUAUCUUCUGUCUGAUUCCCGUUAGAAGCAACUUUUGCGCAGCACUAAUGCUAGACCACACGUACGAUGGGUUACUAGCAGAGAUUACUCUGAGAGGUGAGCUCAUCUUGUAGUAUCUUCCCCUUAGAACCCUGGCCACCAAUGAGUCUGGGAAUUGAACUAGUAUCUUCUCCUUGCAACUUAUUUUUGUCUUUAAUUUGUCGAUAUUUAUUUAUAACUGAUUGCAAGUUAGUAAACUAUAGUGAAGAUUUUUAUAUCUUAGCUAUUUAGCGAAGACAUGCAAGACUCUGGCGGGAUUUUUCAAACAGAAUUUUUUCGUUGGUAAGUUUCGACAGAUCCUCAUGAUUUUCUGAUAAAACUUUGUUCGUCAUAUUUUUCCAGAAAUUUAUACGACAAGCCAUCGUGUUUUUGUCUGAACUUUCUGAUGGAAAUGUGACGGCAAUAUGACGAUAUUGGUAUUGAAUACGGUCAUUGGAAAUUUGUUAGAAAGUUUUAUUGUUAACUUAAUCAAUUAUAAAGUUUUUGUUUCAAGUUUCAACUACUCUCCAGUUCAAGCUACUUUUGUAGUUAACUAUAAAUUUUAUUUUUUAUCAAAAAAAAACUAUAAAUUUUAUUUUUACUUUUUUCGGUAUGCAUUUUCUUAUAUGAAAUAAAUAUUUUUUUGUUAAUAUCUUAGUUAAAAGAGAUAUAACUUGUGAUGGCAAUGGGGAAUCCAUGAUCUUGUAGUCAGGUGGUAAAGAGAAGAGUUUGGGAUAGCAACACGUUUCAAGUUCGAUCAACUUCUUGCGUGAAAUUAUAUCAAACUAUUCUGGACACCUACAUAUCCCCUACACGGAUAUGCCCCCCCCCCCCCCCCCCUACACGGGAUUUUUCAAACAGAAUUUUUUCGUUGGUAAGUUUCGACAGAUCCUCAUGAUUUUCUGAUAAAAUUUUGUUCGUCAUAUUUUUCCAGAAAUUUAUACGACAAGCCAUCGUGUUUUUGUCUGAACUUUCUGAUGGAAAUGUGACGGCAAUAUGACGAUAUUGGUAUUGAAUACGGUCAUUGGAAAUUUGUUAGAAAGUUUUAUUGUUAACUUAAUCAAUUAUAAAGUUUUUGUUUCAAGUUUCAACUACUCUCCAGUUCAAGCUACUUUUGUAGUUAACUAUAAAUUUUAUUUUUUAUCAAAAAAAAACUAUAAAUUUUAUUUUUACUUUUUUCGGUAUGCAUUUUCUUAUAUGAAAUAAAUAUUUUUUUGUUAAUAUCUUAGUUAAAAGAGAUAUAACUUGUGAUGGCAAUGGGGAAUCCAUGAUCUUGUAGUCAGGUGGUAAAGAGAAGAGUUUGGGAUAGCAACACGUUUCAAGUUCGAUCAACUUCUUGCGUGAAAUUAUAUCAAACUAUUCUGGACACCUACAUAUCCCCUACACGGAUAUGCCCCCCCCCCCCCCCCCCCCCCCCUCCUCCUUAUGUGGUCAAUUUACAUAUCCGGUGAGAAGGUCUAUAUGUAGAUUACAUCUUCCCUAAGGGAAGUUCCCUUAAAGAUUAGUCUGAAUCAUUCCAUAUAUCCGGGAUACCAAAGGUUAAUCCAAAACUAAAUAAAUAUUUGAGAUAAGAAAAAAAUAAAAAGACAAAAUAUACGCUCCUACUGUUUCUAAAAAAAGUAUUUUAUUUGCACAAAUUAAAAAGUAUUAAAUUUUGAUAUUAAAUGUUUUAUUUUAUAUGAUUGUCAAUUUCCUAUAUUUUUAUAGCAAUAUUAUUUUUGUAAGUACAAUUAUUUUCUGAAGUUUGUAAUUUAUCAUUGUUAAUUAAUAAAAAAUUAUUCGUCAAUAUAAAACAUGUAUCUUUUGAAACAAAUUUUUGUUAAAAUAUGUAAUUUUUUGAAAAAGAAGAAAUAUUAUAUUAUGAAAAAUGAAUCAAACAUUAAUAAUUUAUAACAAACAAAUGGAAAUAUGCUGGGAAACCCGUAGGUCAGACAAAAAAAAAAGUUAGUGAGAGAAAAAAGAUUAGAUCUGGCUUUUUCCUCCAGUGUUGGCGUUAGGAGAUCAAUUAGUGUGAUUUUUUUCCGUUCUUCAUUUUUCUAUCAUGCGAUAGGGCUGGGCAUUUUAUCUGAUAUCCGAACCUGAAUCAAAAUUUGACCCAAAAAAUCUGAACAUGAAUCGGAGCCGAAAUAGCAAAAUAGCCUAACGGGUUUUGUAUUGAACAAGUUUGGAUACUCGAACCCGAUUAUCCAAAACCCGAAGUAAUAUCCGAAGUCAUCAGAACAUAUAUAUACUUUAACCCAAAUCUACAUUCUUUCACCCAAUAUGUAAUGACUGGUUUUUCUUAACCGAUUUUGGUUUAAUUAAUAUUAUAUAAAAUCAAUAUCAAAUCACUAAUUUUCCUAAUCUAAACGUGUGCACAUAAAUAUGUAUCUCUUUCUUAAACGUGAGAGAUUAAGGCACCAUAUGCAUCUUUCAUCUCUCAUCUUUUUUCCCUACAAGAUCUUCUUUCCUAAAAUAUCGUUCUUCUCACGAUUCAUGUAAGGUUUCUCGAGACAUUAGUUGUUGCCGUCAUCAACGAUAACCACAAAACGUCAAUUUAACAACCGGAGCCACCUCAAACCAUUUUGUCGUUCUUUGUACAUAGAGGUAGUUUCCAUCCAUGAAGUUUCCCUUGAUACUCUCGAUCGUGUCACGUAACGAAAGCAAGAGAAGGAACAGUUUUUUUUUG